AACGCAGCGAAGGGCGAUAAGUAAUGUGAAUUGCAGAUUUUCAGUGAAUCAUCGAAUCUUUGAACGCACCUUGCGCCCUUUGGUAUUCCGAAGGGCAUGCCUGUUUGAGUGUCAUUAAAUUCUCAACCUUGAACCAGUUUUUUGUGACUGGGUCAAGGCUUGGAUGUGAGGGCUUUGCUGGCUUCCUUCAGUGGAUGGUCUGCUCCCUUUAAAUGCAUUAGUGGGAUCCUUUGUGGACGGUCACUUGGUGUGAUAAUUAUCUACGCCGCGUUGACUGUGAAGCAAAACUUAUGGGACCCUGCUUAUAACCGUCCUUCGGGACAAUUUAUUGACCAUUUGACCUCAAAUCAGGUAGGACUACCCGCUGAACUUAA
rnacentral:rRNA from 1 species